rnacentral:misc_RNA from 1 species
CGCACAUUGCGCCCCGUGGUAUUCCGCGGGGCAUGCCUGUUCGAGCGUCAUUUCACCACUCAAGCCUCGCUUGGUAUUGGGCGACGCGGUCCGCCGCGCGCCUCAAAUCGACCGGCUGGGUCGAUCGCACCCUCAGCGUUGUGGAAACUAUUCGCUAAAGGAGUUGUGGUCGGUCACGCCGUGAAACAAACCAAUCUUUCAACGGUUGACCUCGGAUCAGGUAGGGAUACCCGCUGAACUUAA